GGCCGCCUGGCGUAAUGGCAACGCGUCUGACUACGAUCACCGGAAAGGUGUGGUAAUCAGGAGAUUGCAGGUUCGACCCCUGCGGUGGUCA